rnacentral:rRNA from 1 species
UACGUAGGGGGCAAGCGUUGUCCGGAUUUAUUGGGCGUAAAGAGCGUGUAGGCGGCCUUACAGGUCAGCUGUGAAAACUCGAGGCUCAACCUCGAGACGUCGGUUGAAACCGUAUGGCUAGAGUCCGGAAGAGGAGAGUGGAAUUCCCGGUGUAGCGGUGAAAUGCGCAGAUAUCGGGAAGAACACCCGUGGCGAAGGCGAGUCUCUGGGCCGAUAUUGACGCUGAGGAGCGAAAGCGUGGGGAGCGAACAGG